rnacentral:lncRNA from 1 species
ACUUCAUACACUUACGAUCUCACAGUUCUCUUCUAAACUCACAGCAUCUUGAUUACUUGUUUGCACUUUUGCUUUACAAGACUACUGCUUUCUUCUUGAUUGUUUCUUUGAAACUGCUAUAUUCUAAUUUUGUUUUCAUCCUCACCUCAAUGUGUUUAUUUUAUAGUUUCUACAAUCAUGUCUACUUUGAUGUCUAUGCUCAGUGUUAAAUAUGUAUGUUGUUCUCUUUGCAUCUAUUUUCUGCCAUGAAUCCUUGUACCCUUACUCCCUUCUAUGUGUUUGAGUUAAAAUUCAGACAUGGUAGCAUCCAAAUUGUUGCUCAUGUCUGGACUUGAUCCUUCAAAGGAUCCUAACUCCCCAAAAAAUGUCGCUAACAGGUUGGUUGGGGUGUGCCAACAUUUCUAAUUGCUGGGUAUAACCACCAGCCUAUCUUGUC